rnacentral:lncRNA from 1 species
GUUCCUCUUACAGCCUUCUGCAGGGCCUGGUGGCAUCUGCUGUGGCUACUCCCAGGAGCAGAUCUUUAGGCUGUAGAGAUGCAGAAGUAGUCUUUGGCAGUCAACCCAGCAGUAGCAGAUGGAAGUGUGAAGUGCAGGAAGAAAGCUACAAAUAGCCGAACAAGAAAAACCUGACACGUCCUGGGCUUGCACAUCAUGAACCUUUUCAAGCUGUGGGAUAGCACUGACUUCUGAAAAGGGCUAUUUUAGGCAACAUCUCAUGAAGUUUGGCUCUCUUCACACACUGGCCUUCAUCUGCACGUGGAGAAGACAGUUCCUACAACAGCAGCUUCUUUACUAUCACUUGGUUCCCUCCAGUGAUGAGCUAACACAGCACCAUGUGGAGCAUCACCCUGAGCAGCAGGGAGAGUCCCAGUCAUCUUCUGCAUGCAUCCCUUCCAGGCAGAGGAAGGGAUUUCCAUAGUGUGGAGCAUAACAUCUCUGUAAAAGCAGGGGAGGGACAGCUGGUUGGAUUCACCUCUAGCCCUGGGUACAAACCCUACCACCGCACUUUUCCCAAGGGACCAAGCUUUCCAUGUGGUGAGGGCCCCACGGUCUGCCCUAUUGACAGCUUUUCUCUCGGUGCCCCCAUAUCAGAUCUGUCCCAGCCACGUUCACUGAACACAUCAAGAGGUGGGUGGGAGCCACAGCCUCCACCCUCCAAGCCGCCUUCCAGAGCCUCCAGCAAGUAACAGCAAGCAGGAAUUUAGAAGCAGCUUUUCCUGACAACGGAAGUCAUAUUUUGUUUUGAAAACAUCCCUGUGCUUGUGGAAAAAGCUAAAAUAAAAACUCCAUGCCCA